rnacentral:rRNA from 1 species
GCGAAGGUAACCUCAGCGCGGUCGGAAAUCGCGCAGUGAGUGCAUAGGCAUAAGGUUGCUUGACUGCAAGACAAACAAGUCGAGCAGGUACGAAAGUAGGUCUAAGUGAUCCGGUGGUUCUGUAUGGAAGGGCCAUCGCUCAACGGAUAAAAGGUACUCUGGGGAUAACAGGCUGAUACCGCCCAAGAGUUCACAUCGACGGCGGUGUUUGGCACCUCGAUGUCGGCUCAUCACAUCCUGGGGCUGAAGCCGGUCCCAAGGGUAUGGCUGUUCGCCAUUUAAAGUGGUACGCGAGCUGGGUUUAGAACGUCGUGAGACAGUUCGGUCCCUAUCCGCCGCGCGCGCAGGAAACUUGAGAAAGGCUGUCCCUAGUACGAGAGGACCGGGAUGGACGAACCUCUGGUGUGCCAGUUGUUCCACCAGGAGCACCGCUGGUUAGCUACGUUCGGAAGGGAUAACCGCUGAAAGCAUCUAAGUGGGAAGCCCACCUCAAGAUGAGUAUUCUCAUCACGUAAGUGAGUAAGGUCACGGUAAGACUAACCGUUUGAUAGGCAUUAAGUAUAAGUGCAGUAAUGUAUGUAGCUGAGAUGUCCUAACAGACCGAGGACUUG